rnacentral:rRNA from 1 species
CCUACGGGUGACAGCAGUGGGGAAUAUUGCACAAUGGGGGGAAGCCUGAUGCAGCGACGCCGCGUGAGUGAAGAAGUAUUUCGGUGUGUAAAGCUCUAUCAGCAGGGAAGAAAAUGACGGUACCUGACUAAGAAGCUCCGGCUAACUACGUGCCAGCAGCCGCGGGCAUACGGAGGGGGCAAGCGUUAUCCGGAUUUACUGGGUGUAAAGGGAGCUUAGACGGUUAUGCAAGUCUGAAGUGAAAGCCGAAGGCUCAACCAUGGGACUGCAGUGGAAACUGUAAAACUGGAGUGCAGGAGAGGUAAGCGGAAUUCGUAGUGUAGCGGUGAAAUGCGUAGAUAUUAGGAGGAACACCAGUGGCGAAGGCGGCUUACUGGACUGUAACUGACGUUGAGGCUCGAAGGUGUGGGGAGCAAACAGGAUUAGAUACCCCUGUAGUC